rnacentral:rRNA from 1 species
CGCCAGACUCCUACGGGAGGCAGCAGUGGGGAAUAUUGCACAAUGGGGGAAACCCUGAUGCAGCGACGCCGCGUGAGUGAAGAAGUAUUUCGGUAUGUAAAGCUCUAUCAGCAGGGAAGAAAAUGACGGUACCUGACCAAGAAGCCCCGGCUAACUACGUGCCAGCAGCCGCGGUAAUACGUAGGGGGCAAGCGUUAUCCGGAUUUACUGGGUGUAAAGGGAGCGUAGACGGUUGCGCAAGUCUGGAGUGAAAGGCGGGGGCCCAACCCCCGGACUGCUCUGGAAACUGUGUAACUGGAGUGCAGGAGAGGUAAGUGGAAUUCCUAGUGUAGCGGUGAAAUGCGUAGAUAUUAGGAGGAACACCAGUGGCGAAGGCGGCUUACUGGACUGUAACUGACGUUGAGGCUCGAAAGCGUGGGGAGCAAACAGGAUUAGAUACCCGUGUACG